CCCCUUUUUCUAGAACCUACGGGAGUUCUCUCUCCCUCAAUUUUUCAUCCAAAGUCAGAAACGGUAUCCAUCUCUCCUCUUCCGGCACAAAUUGCGCUCCAUCGGCAGCCGGAGCUUCGCCUGCUCCAGUCCUCGUCGUCCCCGGUCGCCGGUGCCUCGUCUCGGCGGAAGUUCCGCCGUCGCCAUCUGCUGCAGAGAGCAACUCCAAAACGAAGACGGAGGCAGCUGCGUUUCCUCCGUCGCUGGUGGCCUCCUUCAUCGCCUCUCUCUCGGCUGCUACAUGGCGGUGCAGCACCACUGCUCCAGCCGGCAGCCUGACGCAGUGGAGCAGCCGCUGCUGUUCCGUGAUCAACCGCAACUUCCGGGUCUCGUCGGAGCUCGUUCAUCGUCGGGUAGCACUUCAGUGGCCGGUCUAAAGCUAAGUCUUCAAACUCUCGUUAUCUAGUUCAUUCGAUUAGAUAAAACCUGGUGUUUGGAGGACUUGGGGAUUUGUGAUUUUUGUUAAGUGAGGGUUGUGUAGAAACUAUGCGAAAGUUGUUGCUCCAUCAUUUGGGAAUUAAUUAUAAUGAGCUGGACAUGGAAUUUUAAUGAAAUUAAUGGGAUGAUUAGAGUAUAUAGUUGGAUUAUCUUAGAUAGUAGGUAUGUAUUUGAAGUAUACAAGUAGAAAUCAUGUUGUAGUGAAGGAAAUUAAGGAAACAGCUACCAUGCUCUAUUCUGGCAGCAUGUUACGAGUCCUGUUUAACCAAGUAAACGACCUCAUUUUCUUACCAAAUUUCAACUGAACAUACUUUUAUGUGUCUUCUGUCAUGUGACCAAAAUUCAGCUUCAUCCGAGUUCAAAUAGAUUUAUAGUGAUUUUUCCAAUACAAUCUGCCCUGUUCAGGCUGGUUAGGGGAAAAACGAUUAUAAACUUUAAAUGACUAGGAAUUUCCAGCUCAAAAUUCAUCCCUACCAACUACACAUGCAUGAACUUAUUUUGCCACUGAUUUUGUUGAGUUUCGACUUCCGAGCCUGUCUGAAUGAUUUUUCAAAGUUGGUCCAUUUUCUGUAAAAUCUUGACACAUGAUAAAAGUUGAAAUGCUUAUGCUUUAACCUUAUUUUUGGACAAGUGUAUGAAGAUAUGAUUCCUAAUGUGAAAUCUUGAAGGAGAAAUAGUUGUUUUUGACUAAUCUAAUGUCUUGUAGGAUAUAUGCAUAAAUAAUAGACAAGAAUUAUGAAAUUAAGUUAGAAAAUAAUGGUUAACAGUAUGAAUUUGAUACUUUAUAUGCGAAAGUGAAAUAUAUAUUGAAGGGUAAUCCUACCCCAGGAAAUAACAAGGACAAGGAGCAGGAAUAAAGGGAUUCGUGUGUCAAGGGCGUUUUGGAUUUCGAGAUGAAGACUUUGAUAGCAAAGAAGAAGAAGAAAAAUAGUUUGAAUUCGAUUUUGCUACUACUGCAAUUGGGAGGCACAAAUUUUCCAUACGUCUAAUUGUAAUUUCACACAAAACUCGUAUGCGUAGCUUUGGGAAUUUGUUGAAUAAAAUGUAUUGUGUGAUGUAGUUGGGUUGGGAUAUGGAGAUGCAAUGGAGGGUGAUGAAUUGAAUUGCUGAGUCAUUUUGUAUGUAAAAAUGAUAGACAAACAGUAUUAAAUAUUGAUAACGAGUUUGGACAUUUAUUGUUUA